rnacentral:rRNA from 1 species
UACGGAGGGUGCAAGCGUUAUCCGGAAUCACUGGGUUUAAAGGGUGCGUAGGCGGUUACGUAAGUCAGAGGUGAAAGGUCACAGCUUAACUGUGAGAUGGCCUUUGAAACUGCGUAACUUGAAUCAGAUAGAGGUUAGUGGAAUGCGACAUGUAGCGGUGAAAUGCAUAGAUAUGUCGUGGAAUACCGAUUGCGAAGGCAGCUAACUGGGUCUUGAUUGACGCUGAGGCACGAAAGCGUGGGGAGCGAAC